CCUUAGCCUGGGAAUUCCAUAUGCUGAGGGUGUGGUCCUUAAAAAAAAAAGGUAUAAAAAAAGACACUAUAAGUAUCAGCAAUUCUGCUCCUUCAGGCUGAGCUACACCAGAAAAACAUGCCUCCAUGUGUACGUUGUGAUUAUAGAAAAUUGUGUCUGGAAUGUUUGGGGUAUGAAUGUUCCAUACACUUGAUGUCUGUAAAAUUGUAUUCUAUUUAUUCUGGUGUUACUACAGUAUUUACAGUGUGUGUGAAGCUAUAUUUUAUAACAAAUGGAAUGUGUUUGUCUUGGCCUAGAUAAGUGCUGUGUAUUUUAUGACUGUACUUGCAGAACCUAUUGAGUGGAUCUCUUCAAUCCUUUCUUUAAGGAUGAAGAUUAUGCCUACGACUCUUGCUGUGUUAGAAGAUAUGUAUGGAUAUAUGGCUUUCCCAAGCUCAAUAAUGGAAUUCCUUCUUUUGCAGGGGGAGGGAGUGCUGCACCUGCGGCAUGCGGAAGUUUCGAAGGUAGAGAUCAAACCAAGCCACAGCAGUGACGAUGCCGGAUCCUUAACCUGCUGUACCGUCGGGGAACCCCUAAAUCCUCGUUUUAAUAAAUAGGAAAACUAUGGCUCAUCGGGUGAAGUGAAAGUCAUAAAGCUAGUGAAUGGAGUUGCUGAGAUUCAAACAGAUAUUUUACUCUAAAUUUCAUUAUCUUUUCAAUAUGUUUAUGCCUAAGAUAAAGGGGGAAAUGUAUACAUCAUUUUAUCCUUGACAUCAGUGUAUCCCCCAUGCCCACAUAACAGUAGAGAAAAUUUUGAAUUAAUCUUACUAUGUGGUGAUUGCAUUUCAAAGGAUCAGUGAGGAUCUGAGCCCCUCCUAACCUCUUUAGUCUGGCUCUGUCAUCAGUAGCCCAGUUUAGAGUUGAUAGCCCCAUCUGAGAUUUAGUUUGUGGCCCCAGUCAGAGGUUCUAGAUCAAGAUCAAGUUCCUUUGACCCCCAGGCCCAGGUCCAGCUACAAAGCAAUACAAGCUCAAGAGAAGGAAGGAGACGGUUCUGAGAGCACCUUGGGGAGCACCCUCCCUAACCUGAGAUGUUUUAGGGCAGAAUAAAAGAAUCCCUGGAGCAAGUAGGUCCUAGAUA
rnacentral:lncRNA from 1 species